rnacentral:misc_RNA from 1 species
AGAUUCGUAGGAAGUAGUACGAGGUUUGACAAACGUGUGCGUUAUCUGGACAAUGAUUUAUAAGAACAAAUAUCUCCGCCCGCGAGGAUCAAGGUGCUCGACGCCACUUUAAUAACGCGGUAAUCCGUCGCGUAUCCAUGGCACCUUGGUAGCGUCAGAUACGGCGCAGAACAAUUAUUAUCCACAGGCUGUCACCCAUUAGAAUUUCUCAUCCGACGAAUUUUACAACCCAGCACUUAAUCACUCAGGUAGGCAGUCGAGACACAAAGCGGUUGACAGGGCACGAGAUUUCAGAAAUCGAGGACAACCAGCUGAGACGAGAAGUGCAUGACUAUGGAGUAACAGUAAUCUUAAUAAUUUGUUUCUAACUUCAGCCGCUGGACUAGGCGGCGGCGGCCUCGAUCGGUAUACUUGAAUCUUCAAAGUGGCGACUGAUGUUAACUCAGCUAAAAUAUCACCCACUGUUAACAAAGGACCGUCCGCAACUUUUUCCAUUGGCAGAGGUUUCCAGUUCCUUAUGACGAUACUUCCUCUAGCGCUUGGUAUCAAAUCGCUUGAAUAACCAAGACGUACUAAUGCCUCGCCUACUAAAUCCUGCAAAAAAGCGAAAGAAUUAUCUUAUUAAUACUAUUGGAAUAUGUAGUGAGAGUCGAAGUAAAAAAGAGGGUUAAGUUUAAGCAAGUUAAAGACAGGGAAUCUGUAAACUCUGGGUAAAUGGCGCAUCGUUUUAUUCAGAUUAUAUGACACUAUUUUUAUUAAAUCACAGCGAAAAUUAUUUUUGUUAAACGUUAUGUGUUAUAUUUUUUUCUUCUAACUUCGAGAGACUGAAUUGUUAAUUUAUAAAUGGAG